CGUGCCUAAUACAUGCAAGUAGAACGCUGAAGCUUGGUGCUUGCACCGAGCGGAUGAGUUGCGAACGGGUGAGUAACGCGUAGGUAACCUGCCUCUUAGCGGGGGAUAACUAUUGAAAACGAUAGCUAAUACCGCAUAAAAGUCGACAUUGCAUGAUGUUGACUUGAAAGGUGCAAUUGCAUCACUAAGAGAUGGACCUGCGUUGUAUUAGCUAGUUGGUGAGGUAACGGCUCACCAAGG
rnacentral:rRNA from 1 species